rnacentral:misc_RNA from 1 species
UUCCCCGACACGCUACUGCCACAUUUGACCUGCCUCUUACGAACCAGCUAGCUACCGCAACUCGCUUUGGCUUUUCUUUUCCACUUCGCAGCAUUACUCUGAGCCUUUUUACGACGUUUUCUACCUUAUCUGCAACCUGUUUCAUCUCUCCAUUUCACACUUCUUGUCCACGGGAAGUAGGAUAAAAUGGCGAAUGUCAACCCCUAUUUGUGGAUCGUCAUCGUGGGCGGCUUCGUUUCGUUCCUCACCGGCGCCGGUGUGGGCAUGAACGAUUUGGCCAACGCCUUUGGUACCACGUAUGGUGCGCGCAUUCUCACCCUCACGCAGAUUGUCAUCGUAGCCUCUGUUUGCGAAUUUGGCGGUGCGGUGACGCUCGGUGGUGAGGUGACGUCGACCAUCUCCAGUGGGGUUGCCGACCCCAAGGAUUUCGCGAAACAGCCAUAUGUCUUCAUGUACGGUAUGCUUUGCGCCUGUGGCGCCGCCUUCUGCUGGCUGGCGAUUGCCACGUGGCUGCGUCUUCCCGUGUCGUCGACACACAGCAUCUGCGGUGGCGUGAUCGGCUUCGCGCUGGUCUACGGCGGCGGUGGUGCGGUGAGCUGGGCGAAGAGGAAGGACGACUUCCCGUUCUUCAGCGGUGUGGCCCCGAUUGUCGCCUCCUGGUUCAUUUCGCCUGUGCUCACCGGCGCUGUAUCGGCUAUCAUCUACAGCCUGGUUCGCUUCCUCGUGCUUCGCCCUAAGAACUGUGUGAAGCGCGCGAUGUACACCCUGCCCGUUGUUGUGGCCAUUGCCUUCUUCCUGGAGUCUUUCUUCGUGCUCUUCAAGGGCGCGUCGAAGCGCCUCAAGUGGUCGGUGGGCAAAGCUGCCUGGGUGGCUGCGUGCAUUGGCGCCGGCGCUGGCGUGCUCUCGUGCGCCUUCAUUCCCCUUCUGAAGCGCUUGGUUGCUCGUGACGAGGCGCAUGCCUUCGCUGCGUCUGACGAGCGUCCGAGCACGACGGAGGGAUCAACUCAGCGCAAACCGCUCAACGACGAGGACGUGCACAAGGCUCGUGAGGUCACUGGCGACGUUGUUAGCCAAUCGGAGGCCUCCGACUCAGAGCAAUCGGAGGAGCGCCAGGUCACUGGUGCCAGCGGCCUUCAGGUCCAGCAGUACGAAUGGCGUGCCGAGCGCGUGUUUCGCUACCUGCAGGUGUUCACCGCCAUCUGCGCCUCCUUUGCCCACGGCGCGAGCGAUGUCAGUAACGCCGUCGGCCCGCUUGCCGCCAUCUACCAGGUGUACCAGACGGGCGGUGUGGAGAAGAGCUCCUCUGUUCCGAUCUGGGUGCUGUGCCUCGGUGGUGCCGGUCUUGUUUUGGGUCUCUCCACCUUCGGUAUCCGGCUGAUGCGUCUGAUGGGUGAGGAUCUGACUGUCAUCACGCCGAGCCGCGGCUUCUCUGCGGAGCUGUCGGCCGCGCUCGUCGUGUCGUUCGCCUCCGGCUAUGGCAUUCCCGUCUCGUCCACUCACUGCAUCACUGGUGGUGUCAUCGCCGUCAGCAUCGUCGAUGUUGGCUUCCUGAACAUCCGCUGGCUCAUGGUGCUGAAGAUGUACGGUGGCUGGGUGUUUACUCUCGUGAUCACCGCCAUUAUCUCGGCCAUGUUCUUUGCCCAGGGUGCUAGCGCCCCUGCCAUGUAGAUCUCUGUUUGCGUGCGCUCCUGAAUGUGGCAGUUAAAUGUUUACGUCGUGAGAAAAGUAUUUCCCCCUUCUUUUUGCCGGUAUCACUUCGUAGUUUCUGGUGCUGAACUAUUUGCAAAGCCCCGCUGCUCGCCAGACACCUUCUUUUUCCCCUCUUUGCUUCAUGCCAAUUUGAGAUUGUCUCAUGUGUGUACUUUCUGCUGUAUGUGAGGUGCGUGUGUGCGUGUGUGCUUGUGUUUUUUGCCGUAUUAUGAGUUUUCAAGGUACAUGAACAGUUGUCCACGCUCGAAGGCACCUACGACGGACACGCAGCUGUGCACACACAUUUAUCACACACACACACACACCUUUUUCCAGAAGUGCGACUUUCAUUGUGCAAGGUUGACUGAUCUCCUUUUAAUCCCGUCUCUCUCCCUCCCUCCCUCCCUCAGUCGCUGUAAAGGAUGUUGCUUCGGUCUCUUGUUCAUGUAUUUCAAUGUAACCCACUGACUUGUUUGUUUCGACUCAUUUGUUUCUCCAUUCAUGCCUCAUCUUCGUCUUUUUUUCUCGUUUGGCGACUGUUAGCUCUUGCGUGCGCUUGUGCGUGUGUGUGCGUGUUUUUUAACGUUUUCAGCGUAGCGCGUUUCUUUGUUUUCUGUGUGUUGCUGCUCAUUCUUUUGUAGCUCACGGCGCUGCACUCCCAUUGAAAAAAGAGAGAAUAACCCCAAACCUCAAGCCACCAUGAGGCAGCAAGAACGCGAAAAACGAGGCAUCUUAAGACGUGCAGUAAAGCCUUCCUCUUUCGCUUUCUUGUCCUUUUCGUAGCUUCUUUGCUCGUCUAUAUUUUUUUUUUACCUGUUCCCCUCUUCCCAUGCCUCUCUCUGUUUCAUUUCUUCAUCUUCCCAUCUCGCUUGUCGCCGGAAAGUUGCACUCGGAAAGGAAAACCAUCAGCAGGCUAUCAUUCAUUUGCGCGCGUACCCCCCCUCUCCUUUCGCUCAAAGAUGCCUGGACAGUCGAAAGCAAUAGGUCGUCAUAUACAUCAUUUGACUCGUUUUGUUUAUUUGCUUCUUACACUCCAGUUGACUCUUUGUGUGUGGGCGCCCCGUUUUGCUCUGAUGUACUCUCGUAUGAUGAGCAAGACUCUUCGUUGCGGUGCACCUCUUUUAAAAGUGAGAUCAUAAAGGAAGCAGUCCAAAGAAAAAACCCGUGUUUUACUCCUGUAAUCAACUCUUUUCAGGGGAGAGCAAAGCAAGGAGGCCGUGUGAGACUUGAGAGGUAGAUGUUCACGUCUCCCUGACGAGAAAGGACUUUAGGCAGUGACUGCGCAGCUGUGCGAAGAGAGGACAAAACAUCCAAACGUUGUCUGACAUGUUGCAGAAACUGUUGCCCUUGGUGACUCCCAAGUGUUUUCUUCUUCCUGAGAGCCUUAAUGAAGCCCAGUGACCUACCGGCAAAG